CCGUCACUUGGAGUUACCAUGAGCGCCCACGGGUAACGCUCCUCGCGGUCUUUCGCUCGUAUAUAUUUUCACCGCCGGAUAAAAGGGCGAAGGAUGGCGAUUUCGAUCGCAGUCGAUCCAAGAAGAAUAGGUUUCUUGGAUUCCCAUGGAUUGCGCCUCCGCUCUCCCAGCCCAGUUUCUCAAUCGGAUGCGCCACCUCGCCUCCGCCGCCGAUCUCGUCCACGCCAUCAAGAGACUUGCAUUCCUUUGGAUUGGAGCUUGGGCUAUUGGUGUCGUUGUGCCUCAUUUUGUUCUUCUUGUUUCAUACAUCUGAUGCUGAAAAUGAUAGUAGAAAGCUGUAAGAUUUUCUUGUGACCAUGGAGUCUACUAUUAAAGAACAUCAUUAUGGGCUCAUGCUCCAGAUGAAGAAAUAGAUAGUGCAAUUAAGUUGAUGUAGGCCAAUCCCGACCAGCUGUGUUCCAACCUAAAAAAUUUAUCCAGCUAUUUAUGAGGCAAUUGAAGCUUGUGCCAGAAGUGGAAUACUACCUUACAAUCUUAUCUCAGUGGAAACAUUUGUAACAAAUAUCCAUGCCAUUCACUGUUUGGAAGAAAAUGAGUUCAAAAGAAUAUGCAAUCAGCAAAUUUAGCCAUUGAAGAAACUGUCACUGUGCAUAGCAGUAUGCUACAUUUAUCUGAAAUGAUGCUCCCACCAUGAGAAGGCUUGCUAAGGAGAUACAUGUCAAUCUUGAGGUUAUCCAUGCUUAUUUACCAUCUGAAGUAGCUCGAGCUCGGCUUGGAAAAAGCUCGGUGCAGCCUCAGUUCGAAGCUAAAUGAACGAAGCUUGGACCAGCGAUCUUGGCUCAAAAUUAAUUUCAAACCAAGUCAAAAAUAGAUCCAUUGGUCUACGAAAUUAGGAUCUUUUCAAGCUUGAAUAUUAUUUAACUUUUGAAUUCAUUAAAUGUUAAUUCAGAUUUGAACCAAACUUGAAAUCAAACUAAGCCAAGCUUGAAUCAAGCUCUAAUUUAAGCUUGGACCAAGUUUAGUUUAAGUUCAAACUCGAAUUGAUAUGUAGCUUGUUUUAGGAUUUUCAAGCUGAUUGAUUAGGCUCAUGUUCAGCUCAAUUUGAAAUUAAGCUGAAACUAAGCUCGACAUGGUGUUAAACAAAUCAAGCUUGAUCUCAACUUUCAAGCUUGGGAUUUCAAACCAAGCUUGAUUAGACCCAAGCUCAAUCAAGCUUGGCUCGGUACACCCUUAGACAUGCUCCAUUCUCUCUACAUGUGAUUUUUUCAUAAAUUUAAUAAUCAUCUGUAACUGCUUCAGUAAAGCAGUUGUUCAUAUAGGCCAUUAUCGAUAUAGUUUAUUGCCAAUCUUUUUUCGUAAUCAGGCUGUAGUUUGAACUAAUUUUCUCAAAAUAGUCCAUAAAGGCAUCUUGGUACCUGGUGUCUGGGCUGUAUCAAUUGCUUAGACUAGGACUAUCUAGUCUGUUUAGCGUACUGAUAAUAUUAAUAAGUAGAUACUAAAAUUAGCUUGAUAUUUGCUUCUUAAGUUUAUAUGCUUGAUUUUUACUUUAUAUUUUUUGCAUCUUGGAUAUGUAAUUCUGAAUAUGUAUAGACAUUUGUGUGUGCAUUCUAGGAUUCCCAUCCCAAGAGUACCGAUGCAUCUCACUAGUGCUAUACCAUUCCGAUCUGAGAAUGAUACUUGGGAUGGCCCCAGGACAUUGGUUUGCUCAUGUACUGGAUGCCCCCACAUUCCUGGUUGGUACAGGUUGGGACUAGCCAGUUUGCUAACAUGGUAGCCUGGUACUAGUUGGGAUAGCCAGGUCUAUCUCACAAAAGGGUGCUUAUAGGUACAAUUUAUUAAAAAAACAAAAUUACACAAAUUUAAAAACGAAAAAAUAGAAACCAUAAACCAUGCGACAAGGGGCAUCUUAGUACCAUACCUAUUUAAGAGGUUCAAAAUCCUAUUUAUGAAGCUAAAAACAUCUUAAAAUCAUUAAAUUCUAAACAACAAAAUGAAACGAAAAAAAAGGAGUUCAGAGGUAUCCCAGUAAAAGUAUUGGGAUGCCAACUUGUCUAGGCUGUCAAGGCAGGUUUGUCCCAGUACCAUACUGAUUCAGGAUCAUACGAGGACAUGUGCUGGUAUCGGGUCUUGAAUCCCAAUAUAACUUACAAAUUUUUAUUUUUCUUGAUUGCAACCAAUAGGGAACAUGUAGCCAUCUUCCAAGUGAUCGAUUGAUGAGACAAUGCUAAUAUGUUUGGGUUGGAAAUAUGUUCUUUCUUUUCUGCUAUCUCUUAUCCUCUCCUUUUUUAUGUUUUUGCUACAGACCAUCUUGAGCCCACUUUGUUGCUUUGACAACAUUGAUUUGGAUAUAACAGCCUGUAUGGUUUCCACAGUCCAUAGCUACUUGCUAGUUUAGCUUUCCAUCUUGCAUUAAGAGAGCCCAUCCUUUGAAAUUUUAUAAAUAUCCUCAGAAAUCUUUAAAAUAUUUAUGAAUAUCUUUGGGUUGACAUUUACCUCACAGAAGAUACCUCCAAUUACCUUGUACAACACAGGAGACCUUCAAUUACCAUAUACAACACAAGAGACGUUAACCAUUAAACCGAUUCUUAUUCUCUCAAGCUAUGCAUUUUCCAAGGUAUCCAUCGACUUCCUCAACAAGUUUUUCUAUAUCUUAUUAUCUGAUCAGGUACAUCAAACAUUUUCAUGACCUGUUGUGCGUACGGUCAUUUCUCAUUAAACUGAUUCUUAUUCUCCCAGGCUAUACAUUUUCCUAGGUAUCCAUGGACUUCCUCGACAAGUUUUUCUAUAUCUUAUCUGAUCAGUUACAUCAAAGAUUUUCAUGACCUGCUGUGCAUAUGGAUCAUUUCUCAUUAAACCGAUUGUUAUUCUCCUAGGCUAUGGAUCAUUGUGUAAAGUUCUAAGUAAUCAAGCAGUAGUUUGAAUUAGUCUUGUCAAAGCUGUUAACCUACACAUUUUGGUAGUCUGCCUAGGCAAGGACUGACCUGGCUAACUGAAUCAGGUAUGUCAAUAUACUUAAAAGCAUGGAAGAGAGAAUAUGUUCUCAAGUUGACUUGCGUGCCAACUGGUGCAGUUGGUAAAUUCAUGGGCCAUGAUACCCAAUGACCUAGGUUGUCGAGGGCUUUGUCACCUAGGUACCAUGUGCCUGGACAAAUUCAUUUUUGAUGCAAUCACCCAUCACGGAAGAUACCAGGGUGUACAGCAUUCUGUCAUGCGCCAUAAUCAUUGGUUGGUGUCAUCUCCAUGUUAUGCCAUUCCUUCGGAGCGAGCAUUGUCGAUAAAUUCAAUAUAAUAACGUUUAACUACUUAAAAAUCUUAUUUGACUGGGAAAGCUAGAACCUAGGUAUAUCUUGGUCAAGACGUAGCUCUGCCAGUGGCAAUGCUGAUUUUGGGUUUCCUUUUCCCAUUCUUUUUUGAUGGUGGUCGAAGAUCCCUGAUGUUUUGUAUUGAAUUGCAGUCAUGGUAGCAGAGGCAAAAGACCUGACGGUAGAGACUAGAUUGAGGAAAGGGUUGGAAAGGGUUGGUGAUUGAAACAAUUGUACAUUUAAUAAGUGCAAAAUAAAAAUUUUACAGGAAAGAUUAGCUUCUUCAUUAAGGAGAAACAAAAUGUUUCGACAAUGGCCUUGAAACUUACUACAAGAAGGCCAGAGCAGAGACUUUAGUCAUCAUCUCUCAUCCUAGGCUACUCUAUGU